UACGUAGGAUGCAAGCGUUGUCCGGAUUUACUGGGCGUAAAGCGCGCGCAGGCGGCACUCUAAGUACGUCGUGAAAUAUCCCGGCUCAACCGGGAGGGUGCGAUGUAGACUAGGGAGCUAGAGGGUCGGUAGAGGGGGGUGGAAUUGCUGGUGUAGCGGUGAAAUGCGUAGAGAUCCACAGGAACUCCGGUGGCGAAGGCGGCCCCCUGGGAUAACACUGACGCUCAUGCACGAAAGCGUGGGGGAGCAAACAGG
rnacentral:rRNA from 1 species